rnacentral:tRNA from 1 species
UCCCUGGUGGUCCAGUGACUUAAGACUAUGUGCUCCCAAUGCAGGGGCCUGGGUUCGAUCCCUGGUCAGGGAA